rnacentral:lncRNA from 1 species
CAUUUUCGUCAAGAGUAAUCUUCAGUCUCGACUCAGCCUCCAGGUACGCCCGUUGCAUGCGAGACGCUUUCUCUUCCAGCUCGUAAACGACCCGAUCCUUCUCGCUCAUCCUCUGCUUCAGCAGGCCAACCUCCGCUUCCAGGCAGGCAACCCUCCGCUUCCAGAUUCGACACUCGCGAAGCGAUUGCCAUGGAAGUGAUCUUGCGCGCUAGAUCCAGCUGGUCGUAAGGAUCUGCAGGUAUCACGGCCAAAACCUCAUCCGGCAAACUGAAGUCCGGCACGUCCCGCCCGCCGCUGCCGGCAACAACGA